rnacentral:rRNA from 1 species
UAGUUUACCGGUUGCAACAGGAGUUAAAGUUGCGCAAGGAUCUCUUUUGGUUCGACUUUCUACUACCGUCGUUGAUAUGCCUGACCCAGGCCUUGGACUCCUAGUAGGAGUAUCAUCGGUUCUUUCUAAUACAGAAUCUUCGUGGCGAUCCACUACGUGGUUAGGGUCUCUUGGUUCUGCAAUACUUGCGAACCGUCGUCGCACGACUACUAAUGAGGGAGCAAGUCACGCCGUACGAAAUGUCGAAUCUUGGCCCAGAGGUUUUCGCAAAACUCUUUGUACCUCGUAUACUCUACAAGCUCCUCGACUUUAACCAAAAGGUUCGAGUACGGGCCCAGUUCUCUAUACUUCAGAGGCUGUUCAAGAAGCCGACAUUUUACCUCCUUUUAUCAAGACAUUCACUCGUAUAUGAGUCUUACAGACCCAACGUGUUGGCGAACUGAGUCGACCCUCAAUUAGAGGGCCUACUGCGCCAGUAACUGUCUUAGGAGGUCAGCGAAGGUGGUUCGAUGUUCUCGAAACACUACUUGAAGUUAUACGUCCCCUACCUUUUCUGGUAAGGACUCUAUAUAAGUUACGACUUUAGUCGCCUCCACCUCUAGUCUUUUCUUGUAGUUCACAACUACCACUUAUUUUGGUGAUUCAAGUUCUUCCCGUUCCCAUUCUUCUUGAAGUUCUUCCUGCCGUUCCCUCAACGGCGCGGGCCAUUCGGUCAACGGUCCUUCUUCGGUUCCUUACCUGGGUUCGGGCUCUGACUCACGAAAAUAACGUUCCCUUCACCAGUGACCUUCGCCUUGACGGGGUUUAUGAAUCGCCUGUUCUUCCGGCCGUUGUGGUUUCCUUGAUGCUUUAUUUGCCUCUGACCGCUUCCUGCUCCACUGCUACGCGCAACCCUUACCAAGGUUCCAGCUACACUAGCGGCAGCCGUGCGAUGGAGACGUAGAUGGGUGCCCUAAUCAAAAUUUGGAGUUAUUAACAAUAAAUCACGGUCGAAACUCGUACUUGUAACAUAGACCUAGAGCAAAUUAAGCUCUACCGAUGAGUAAAUUUA